rnacentral:rRNA from 1 species
UACGGGGGGGGCAAGCGUUGUUCGGAAUUACUGGGCGUAAAGGGCGCGUAGGCGGGCGGACAAGUCUCUCGUGAAAUCCCACGGCUCAACCGUGGAACUGCGGGAGAUACUGUCUGUCUUGAGUCCGGGAGAGGAGGGUGGAAUUCCCAGUGUAGCGGUGAAAUGCGUAGAUAUUGGGAGGAACACCGGUGGCGAAGGCGGCUCUCUGGACCGGUACUGACGCUGAGGCGCGAAAGCUAGGGGAGCAAACGGG